rnacentral:lncRNA from 1 species
ACAGUCCCCUCUCCUGCUCCUGGUACAGGGUCACACACAGCCCCCUCUCCUGCUCCUGGUACAGGGUCACACACAGUCCCCUCUCCUGCUCCUGGUACAGGGUCACACACAGUCCCCUCUCCUGCUCCUGGUACAGGUCACACAGUCCCCUCCUCCUGCUCCUGGUACAGGGUCACACAGUCCCCUCUCCUGCUCCUGGUACAGGGUCACACAGUCCCCUCUCCUGCUCCUGGUACAGGGUCACACAGUCCCCUCUCCUGCUCCUGGUACAGGUCACACACAGUCCCCUCUCCUGCUCCUGGUACAGGUCACACAGUCCCCUCUCCUGCUCCUGGUACAGGUCACACACACUCCCCUCUCCUGCUCCUGGUACAGGUCACACAGUCCCCUCUCCUGCUGCUGGUACAGGUCACACACAGUCCCCUCUCCUGCUCCUGGUACAGGUCACACAGUCACCUCCUCCUGCUCCUGGUACAGGUCACACAGUCCCCUCUCCUGCUCCUGGUACCAGUCACACAGUCCCCUCUCCUGCUCCUGGUACCGGUCACACAGUCCCCUCUCCUGCUCCUGGUACAGGGUCACACAGUCCCCUCUCCUGCUCCUGGUACAGGUCACACAGUCCCCUCUCCUGCUCCCUGGCUGCUGAAUUUUAUACUGAACUUAAGGUCUCCUUUUUUGAAGUCUUCCAAAGAGCACUCCACAUCCACCCAUUUCCCAACAGGCUGGUGGCAAGACCUAAAAAGGACAUGAACUAGAAAAUAAAUCCCCUUGAGUCCACA